AUUGAACGCUGGCGGCAGGCCUAACACAUGCAAGUCGAGCGGUUGACGGGAGCUUGCUCCCUGAUUCAGCGGCGGACGGGUGAGUAAUGCCUAGGAAUCUGCCUAUUAGUGGGGGACAACGUUUCGAAAGGAACGCUAAUACCGCAUACGUCCUACGGGAGGAAGCAGGGGACCUUCGGGCCUUGCGCUAAUAGAUGAGCCUAGGUCGGAUUAGCUUGUUGGUGAGGUAAUGGCUCACCAAGGCGACGAUCCGUAACUGGUCUGAGAGGAUGAUCAGUCACACUGGAACUGAGACACGGUCCAGACUCCUACGGGAGGCAGCAGUGGGGAAUAUUGGACAAUGGGCGAAAGCCUGAUCCAGCCAUGCCGCGUGUGUGAAGAAGGUCUUCGGAUUGUAAAGCACUUUAAGUUGGGAGGAAGGGUUGUAGACUAAUACUCUGCAAUUUUGACGUUACCGACAGAAUAAGCACCGGCUAACUCUGUGCCAGCAGCCGCCGUAAAAC
rnacentral:rRNA from 1 species